AUUUCAUAGGAAGCUUCUUUUCAGUGUUCACCGGUUGAAGUGGUGCAUUCUGGGUGAGUUCUGUCAAGGUUACCUCCACCUUUCUGCUUCGCCUGGUUCUUCUCAUCGCUCAACCUUCUUCACUCACCAUGUCUACAUUUUGGCGUCAAGCUGGACUAAACUAUGUGCAGUUUUCAUCGAUCUGUGCCAAAGUUGUGCGAUCUUGUCUCCAACCAGCACCAAGAGCCGCAGCUGAGAAACAGUCUCAGGCAUUUGUAAAGGCUACACGAUGGGAAGGAGGAAAACCAGUCAAAGUUGCAGCAGAGAAAUCAUGAGACUAAAUAACAUAGUAGCCAUGUACUAUGUACACACUGGCACCUUUUGCUUCCUUGAACUCUAUAGUAUGUUAAAAAAUUUAAGUAAAAUCUAUUUGUAAAUGCCUUCAG